rnacentral:rRNA from 1 species
GUCAAGUCGAACGGUAACGCGGGGCAACCUGGCGACGAGUGGCGAACGGGUGAGUAAUGCAUCGGAACGUGCCCAGUAGUGGGGAUAGCCCGGCGAAAGCCGGAUUAAUACCGCAUACGACCUAAGGGUGAAAGCGGGGGAUCGCAAGACCUCGCGCUAUUGGAGCGGCCGAUGUCAGAUUAGGUAGUUGGUGGGGUAAAGGCCUACCAAGCCUACGAUCUGUAGCUGGUCUGAUAGGGCGACCAGCCACACUGGGACUGAGACACGGCCCAGACUCCUACGGGAGGCAGCAGUGGGGAAUUUUGGACAAUGGGCGCAAGCCUGAUCCAGCCAUGCCGCGUGCGGGAAGAAGGCCUUCGGGUUGUAAACCGCUUUUGUCAGGGAAGAAACGCCCCGGGCUAAUACUCUGGGGUAAUGACGGUACCUGAAGAAUAAGCACCGGCUAACUACGUGCCAGCAGCCGCGGUAAUACGUAGGGUGCAAGCGUUAAUCGGAAUUACUGGGCGUAAAGCGUGCGCAGGCGGUUGUGCAAGACAGAUGUGAAAUCUCCGGGCUUAAUCUGGGAACUGCAUUUGUGACUGCACGGCUAGAGUGCGGCAGAGGGGGAUGGAAUUCCGCGUGUASCASUGAAAUGCGUAGAUAUGCGGAGGAACACCGAUGGCGAAGGCAAUCCCCUGGGCCUGCACUGACGCUCAUGCACGAAAGCGUGGGGAGCAAACAGGAUUAGAUACUCUGMUAGUCCACGCCCUAAACGAUGUCAACUGGUUGUUGGAAGGGUUCYCUUUUCAGUAACGAAAKCUAAACGCGUGAAGUUGACYCGYYCUGGGGAGUACGGYCGYCAAGGGUUUGAAACYU